rnacentral:rRNA from 1 species
AUUGAACGCUGGCGGCAGGCCUAACACAUGCAAGUCGAGCGAGUGGCGGACGGGUGAGUAAUGUCUGGGGAUCUGCCCGAUGGAGGGGGAUAACUACUGGAAACGGUGGCUAAUACCGCAUACUAUCGGAUGAACCCAGAUGGGAUUAGCUAGUAGGUGGGGUAAAGGCUCACCUAGGCGACGAUCCCUAGCUGGUCUGAGAGGAUGAACAGCCACACUGGGACGGAGACACGGCCCAGACUCCUACGGGAGGCAGCAGUGGGGAAUAUUGCACAAUGGGCGCAAGCCUGAUGCAGCCAUGCCGCGUGUAUGAAGAAGGCCUUAGGGUUGUAAAGUACUUUCAGCGGGGAGGCGUUACCCGCAGAAGAAGCACCGGCUAACGCCGUGCCAGCAGCCGCGGUAAUAC